rnacentral:lncRNA from 1 species
UUGGGGCUUAACUCAGGUGCCACGGCUCUAGUGCCCACUGGGUUAACCACUGUCCCAGGGUCCAGCACAGCCGGCUGAUGAGUCCAGGAAGCAACCCUUCCUCACACCUUCAGGGCAUCACACAGAGCACGGCAAAGCCUGCCUGACCAAUAAGGCCUGUGACUCUCUGGGCUUCUCCACACAAAAGCAUCAAAGGAAAGCCUAAGGGUGACAGAGACCAAGCCCCUGAGGUGCUCCUGUGGCACCCCAAAACAUGGAGCUAGGUGUGAGUCUGUGCUGGACACUGGGCAGUGCACACUCCAGCCACCUACAGCUAAUCUGUCCUCUGCAACUUUGAGUUCUGUUUUUGUUAUGAGUUUGGAGAUGGUUGGCAGUUAAAAAGACCCACACAGUUGGGCUGGGUGGACCUUGGGUGGUGUGGAGCUUGGGGACUGGGGGCCGGGGUGUGUGCUCUGCCUGUUCGGUCCCCAGCACCACAAAACAAAAAGGAAGCCUGAAGGAGGCAGAGAGCAGCGAUUGCCACCCAUGGCUCCACGCAGGACUGCGGUGGGAGGAGCUGGCCUACACUGUCAGCCUCGCUCUGCCUCUGCAGAACAGGGAUGGCAACGGAUGUGCAGCUUUGGGGCCUCGAGGGUUAAGUGUUUCCGAGGUGCUCAGCUCAUGGGGACACCCUGGCCGCCCCACGCUGGAUUUCGGGAAACCUCACAGCACCAGUCGGGAGUUAGAGGCGACAUCCUUCCGAGGACCAGCGAGGCGCACAGACUGGUGGCACUGGCCAGGCUGCCGGAGAGGAGACAAGACAGAAGCACCGCGUGACUCUCACAUGCAGGGCUGGGUUGUGGGGACCGGGCUGUGCCUGUCAGGCCAGAGGACAGCUCGCGAUGCUGGCUGAUGUUGGAGGUAAGCAAGGGUG